ACAGGCUUACACAUGCAAGUCGAGGGGCAGCAUUGGAUUAGCUUGCUAAUCCAGAUGGCGACCGGCGCACGGGUGAGUAACGCGUAUCCAACCUGGCCCUUAGUAGGGGAUAGCCCGGCGAAAGUCGGAUUAAUACCCUAUGUUCUUCUUUGAUGGCAUCUGAUGAGAAGCAAAGGUUUACCGCUGAGGGAUGGGGAUGCGUCUGAUUAGGCAGUCGGCGGGGUAACGGCCCACCGAGCCGACGAUCAGUAGGGGUUCUGAGAGGAAGGUCCCCCACAUUGGUACUGAGACACGGACCAAACUCCUACGGGAGGCAGCAGUGAGGAAUAUUGGUCAAUGGGCGCGAGCCUGAACCAGCCAAGUAGCGUGCAGGAUGACUGCCCUAUGGGUUGUAAACUGCUUUUAUGCGGGAAUAAAGUCAGGUACGCGCACCUGUUUGUAUGUACCGCAUGA
rnacentral:rRNA from 1 species